rnacentral:rRNA from 1 species
AUUGAACGCUGGCGGUAUGCUUAACACAUGCAAGUCGAACGAUGAGAAAGAGCUUGCUCUUUCGAUUAGUGGCGGACGGGUGCGUAACGCGUAGGGAUCUACCUAUUAGUGGGGGACAACUUAGGGAAACUUAAGCUAAUACCGCAUACGCCCUACGGGGGAAAGGAGGGGAUCGCAAGACCUUUCGCUAAUAGAUGAGCCUGCGUGAGGAUUAGCUAGUUGGUGGGGUAAAGGCUCACCAAGGCGACGAUCCUUAACUGGUUUGAGAGAAUGUGCAAUCCGACUGGAACUGAGAAACGGUCCAGACUACUGCGGGAGGCAGCAGUGGGUAAGAGUAGACAAUGGGCGAAAGCCUGAUCCAGCAAUACCGCGUGUGUGAAGAAGGCCUUAGGGUUGUAAAGCACUUUCAAUUGGAAGGAAAAAUUCGUGGCUAAUAUCCGCGAACUUGACAUUACCUUUAGAAGAAGCACCGGCUAACUCCGUGCCAGCAGCCGCGGUAA